rnacentral:rRNA from 1 species
GACGAACGCUGGCGGCGUGCUUAACACAUGCAAGUCGAACGGAAAGGCCCUGCUUUUGUGGGGUGCUCGAGUGGCGAACGGGUGAGUAACACGUGAGUAACCUGCCCUUGACUUUGGGAUAACUUCAGGAAACUGGGGCUCAUACCGGAUAGGAGCUCCUGCUGCAUGGUGGGGGUUGGAAAGUUUCGGCGGUUGGGGAUGGACUCGCAGCUUAUCAGCUUGUUGGUGGGGUAGUGGCUUACCAAGGCUUUGACGGGUAGCCGGCCUGAGAGGGUUGACGGCCACAAUGGGACUGAGAUACGGACCAGACUCCUACGGGAGGCAGCAGUGGGGAAUAUUGCACAAUGGGCGGAAGCCUGAUGCAGCAACGCCGCGUGCGGGAUGACAGCCUUCGGGUUGUAAACCGCUUUCGCCUGUGACGAAGCGUGAGUGACGGUAAUGGGUAAAGAAGCACCGGCUAACUACGUG